rnacentral:rRNA from 1 species
GACGAACGCUGGCGGCGUGACUAAUACAUGCAAGUAGAACGCAGUUGCGAACGGGUGAGUAACGCGUGGGAAAUUGCUUCAUAGCGGGGGAUAAUUAUAGAAAACGAUAGCUAAUACAGCAUACUUUGAGAUGGAGAUGCGUUGUAUUAGCUAGUUGGUGAGGUAAAGGCUCAACAAUGCGACGGUACAUAGCCGGCCUGCAAGGUUGACCGGCGAAACUGUGACUGAGACCAGGCCCAGAUUCCUACGGUAGGCAGCAGUAGGGAAUCUUCGUACAUGGACGGAGGUCUGACCGAGCAGCGCCGCGGUAGUGAAGAAGGUUUUCGGAUCGUAAAGCACUGUUGUUAGAGAAGCGGUAACUAACCAGAAAGGGACGGCUAACUACGUGCCAGCCGCCGCGGUAAUUC